rnacentral:rRNA from 1 species
GGGGCGAGUACGUAGCGAUCUGCAGUCGACGCUUUUAGAUUUCACCGGGUGCUUGCACCCACCGAGACAAAAGAGUGGCGGACGGGUGAGUAACACGUGGGUAACCUGCCCAUAAGAGGGGGAUAACAUCCGGAAACGGAUGCUAAUACCGCAUAUUUCCAAUUGUCUCCUGACAGAUGGAAAAAAGGUGGCUUCGGCGACCGCUUAUGGAUGGACCCGCGGCGUAUUAGCUAGUUGGUGAGGUAAUGGCUCACCAAGGCGAUGAUACGUAGCCGACCUGAGAGGGUGAUCGGCCACACUGGGACUGAGACACGGCCCAGACUCCUACGGGAGGCAGCAGUAGGGAAUCUUCCGCAAUGGACGAAAGUCUGACGGAGCAAUGCCGCGUGAGUGAAGAAGGUUUUCGGAUCGUAAAACUCUGUUGUUAGAGAAGAACAAGGAUGAGAGUAACUGCUCAUCCCCUGACGGUAUCUAACCAGAAAGCCACGGCUAACUACGUGCCAGCAGCCGCGGUAAUACGUAGGUGGCAAGCGUUGUCCGGAUUUAUUGGGCGUAAAGCGAGCGCAGGCGGUUCUUUAAGUCUGAUGUGAAAGCCCCCGGCUCAACCGGGGAGGGUCAUUGGAAACUGGAGAACUUGAGUGCAGAAGAGGAGAGUGGAAUUCCACGUGUAGCGGUGAAAUGCGUAGAUAUGUGGAGGAACACCAGUGGCGAAGGCGACUCUCUGGUCUGUAACUGACGCUGAGGCUCGAAAGCGUGGGGAGCAAACAGGAUUAGAUACCCUGGUAGUCCACGCCGUAAACGAUGAGUGCUAAGUGUUGGAGGGUUUCCGCCCUUCAGUGCUGCAGCUAACGCAUUAAGCACUCCGCCUGGGGAGUACGACCGCAAGGUUGAAAACUCAAAGGAAUUGACGGGGACCCGCACAAGCGGUGGAGCAUGGUGGGUUUAUUUCGAAGCAACGCCGAAGAACCCUUACCAGGGUCUUUGACAUCCCUUUGACCACUCUAGAGAUAGGAACUUUUCCCUUUCGGGGACAAAGUGACAGGUGAUGCCAUCUGUCGUCCAGCUCGUGUCGUGAGAUGUUUGGGAUAAGUCCGGCACCGAAGCGCCAAACCCCUUAUUUUAUUUUAGGAUUGGGCCAAGGCA